ensembl:lncRNA
AACUAACAAGCAUCUUUAUCCAUUAACUCACAUUUAAUCACAAUGGGGCUGGAGAAAAGGAACAAAGGUUAUGCAGUCCCACAGUAGUUUCUCCUUUCACAAACAACCUGGUCAGAAGACUCAAGGGAGACCCUCAGAUGGCUGGAGCUCUGUCCUCUCUGAUAUUCUGCCCUAAGAACUCUGACUGUCUCAGUUUUCCAAACUCCCAACACUGUAUCUCAGCUCAAGGAGCCCCUUGUCUGCACCAUGGCUUGGAGACUUUUUAGGAAAUCAGCUUGGACAAUCAUAGAGCUCACCUCAUAUGUUCAGCCUCUUUCAGGUAUCACUGUCCGGUGCUCCUGAUGUCUAAUGUCUACUGUAGCUUCAUGUAUUUUUGCCUGUUUAUUUUUUAGUUAUUUUCAAAACAGAGGAUCAAGUAGGUCUUGUUAUUCCACUUUGUCUAAAGUCAAAGUGUGUAGCUUUACAGCUUCUGAGUGUGGUUGGUGAGUGAUAUGUUUGAAGGAGAGAGUAAAUUACAUCUGGAAUGAUCAAUUAAAACUUUCAGAGUAAUUUAAGAUGCUGUAUUAAAAUUUAUAUCAGUUUUGAUUGUUAAAACAUAAUUUCCAUGGAUUUAUACUCAUAAUUUUUAUAUAAAUACUUAGGGACCAGAAUGAUAAAGUUUUAUUUCUCAUUAAUGUGGUAACAGAAGGAUGUUAAAGCCAAUUAGAAAAGUGAGACGAAGGGAAAACAAAUGACCUUUUAGAAAAAUAUGCUGGAAUAAGAUUGCUUAUCUAGAUUUAAAAUUGACUGAUGUCCCACAGGGCAACACAAUCACAAACUUUGGGGUUAUCUUCUCAGAACAAAACUUUUUGUCUGUAUUAUACAAAAAUUCAUUUACAUCAUAUCAUAUUCAUUUUCCACAAGUUAACAUCUAACUUUUACAAUGUCUGAACUUUAAUUAAUGGUAAUAGUAAGUAAAAUAAAAGUUACUUUCCCUUAGAGAGUUGGUGGGCUCUCGAGCAGGCAUAUGACAGUGUUUUACUAAGGGACUGAGUAGACAUAAGUCAUCUUUCUUGCUUUAUUUCCAAGUUUUGAAAAACUUUUCUAAGCAUGGGAGUUCCCAAUGAGUCAAUGAGAUUUCCAUCACCUAGCUGGCCACUUGCUCAAGUAAUGAAAAGAAUGAGUUGUGGUUUCUGUGAUUAUUUUUAUGUUAGAAUCACAUGGGAGAUCUUUUCAAAACUAGGAGCCCAGGGCUUCUUACCAGACUAGACUCUUUUAGGGUGAAGCUUAGCACCAUUAACUUCUUAAAGAGGCUCAUAGUUAUUCUAAUGUGCAGUCUGAGUUGAAAAUCACUGGUCUAGAUGGGUUGCUCAGAUCCCUUUCAAUAAUAAUGCUCUGUGAUUCUCCAGCUUGAAACACAGGCAAAUCACUUUUCAGAAAGCAGACAUAAAUACAAGCUCAGCUGACUGCCACACAUCACUAGAGGCUUGGAAAUGAUCAGGGUUGCCUGCAUUCAUUCCAGGGUGCGGAAGCAGCAGGCAAGGCCAGGGGUGGGAGAGCUGAAUGAUGGGUCUUUGUGUUCCAAUUAUCAUCAGGGUGAGUUGGUAGAAAAGAGAUAGGAAUGUCUGCCAUCAAUUUCCUUUAAAAAUAGCUAUGGCAGAAUUCAUUUUGUGUCCCUGCCCCUACACUGUUGAGCUCAUCUCUGCUUCAGAGCAAGAGCUCUUUCACUGGGUUAUUAUUGGAGAUGGUGUUUCUGAUUCCAGACCGUGCAUUAAUAAAUUAAGGCCAUGACCAAUAAUAUGCACAAAAAUAGUGCAGCAAGUAAAAGCGUUUACAAUAAUUUCAAGUAAUAAAACUGUACUUCAAAUUCUAUUCCUUUGUGCUUGCUAUCAUCAAAAAGUACUUUUAUAACUUUUAUUAAAAACUAAAAAUCAUUUUUAAAAGCAUAGACUUUUGGAAUUCUUUAUCCUACAACCAUGUUUAUGAGAGACAUGUAGGAAAUACAAUGGAGCAAGCUGGAAAUUAAAAGAAAGUUUUAAACUUAAUAAGAGCUUUUUAAAACCAUAAAUUAAUGUUGAUUUUUUCAAGUGGGUUUUGGGCAUCUUUCUUGAUUUUUUUUUUGUAUAUCCUUUUAUUGGUACAUUUUAGUUGUACAAUAUAAUGACAUUCAUCAUUGGAGAUAUACACCUUCUUUCUUGGUUUUAUGACUUCUUUGAUAUAUUGCUAUCCAAAUCUUAAAGGGUAAAUCCUCCUGAUUAUGAUGGAUUAUUCUUUUGAUAGUCUAUUUGAUUCCAUCUACUCCCCCUGACACUUCUGGUGAUAACUAUCUUUUUUCCUUUAUGUGAAAUAUUCUGUUGAAUUGGGUAGGAAUGGUAUAAACUUUUACAGCCAUUUGACAGAUUAGAAAACUGAGAUGGGCGAUACUGAAUGACUUAUUAACCAAGAACAAAUGGAAAAAAUGUAACAAAGCUUAUACGCAAAUAUUUGACUCCUGAUUUCUGCUCCAAGGAUUUUUCCUUCCUCUAGAAAAUUUUUGUUUUCAUCAUGCAAAUAUCUCAACCAUUAACUCUUUCAUUUAACCUCAUAGUAUUUCAUAUAACCUAAAAAUAGUAUCUUAAAAGGAGAAUUUUCUAUUUGAGCCAUGUCAUUAAUGCUAUUCCAAAUCCUAAUUCCUAAUGCUCUCCUGUUUUUAAAUUUGUUUUUAAAUUCUGCACAGUAGCAGUUCUUGUAACUGUAUUUAACAAUCAUGGGGCUUGGGGAAAGUGUGGAAUGGAAGUGGAAGGAGGUUAAAGCAAGGGUGAUCAAUGGAUGGCCGAUCCAUUAGCAGGGCCAUAGAGUCCACAGAUGAAUGGAUUUGAGAUGGGACUGGACACUUGGUUUGAAUUCCAGGUAUGAAAUCUAUAAAGUUUACAACACAGUCCUGGACUCUGGGGAAAAGUUGGGCUGAGCAUAUACAUUUGGUAACGAUCAGGGCAUAUGGAUUAGUACAGCUUUGUGAAUAGAAAUCGCCCAGGGAGUGGGUAGGGAGCAAGAAGAAAGGAAUGUGAAAUGCACCAACAUUUCUGGGGAUAGAAGAAGAGGAGUUCAGAAGGGCAGAAAGAAGAGUAAGAGAAGGAAAGAGAAAAGCAAGGGCCUACAGUAUCCUGAAAGCAAGGGAAGAGAAAUGUUGUCCUCCUUUCUUACCUCCAACCUGUCUUCCCCUAGGCUUUCUCAUCUUAGUGAGUGCUCACCACUCAGCUGCUCACAUAGCAAACUACUAUCUCUGCCUGGAACAGAGGCUCCUUAGGGGUCUCCCAACUUCAGAUCUUGUUUUUAUGUCACUACCUAGGCCAUAUAUCCUCCAGUGGUCAGAGUGCUUUACAAAAGAACAAUCAGAUCACACCAUAUCUCUGCUUAACUCUCCCAAUGGUUUCCCAUUGUACUUUGACCAUGAAGUUUACAACAUAGUCCUGGAACUCUGGGGAAAAGUUUGUUACCAUGAUCUAACCUGUGGCCAAGUUCUUCAGCUCUGUCCUGUACCAUUCUCCACUACGUCCACUCUACCCAGCCCCCGGGUCUUCAUGCCUUCUCUCUGUUCUUUGAACAUACCAAGUCCUUUACUUACUUCUGGUCUUUUGAAUAUAGUCUGCACAGACCUAUACAGGGCUGGCACUCACCUUCAGCCAGUCCUCAGCCAAAACAUCACCCCCUCAGCAAGGCCCUGACCACUCAUCUAAGUAGCAGAUACCCAGUGUAUUAGUUAGCUAGGGCUGUGUAACAAAAAAAGAACAGGAAUUAAUUGUCUAACAGUUCUGGAGGCUGGAGAUCUGAUAGGAAGUUAUUGGCAGGGUCAGCUCCUUCUGAGGGCUGUGGAGACUCUGUCCUAGGCUUCUCCCUGGGCUUCUACAUGGUUAGCUUCUCCUUUUGUCUUGUCACAUCAUUAUCCCUCUAUGUAUGUGUCCAAAUGUCUUCUUUUUAUAAGGACGUCAGCCAUACUGGAUUAAAGUGCCCCCUAAUGAUUUCAUUUUAACUUGAAUAAAGAGUUCUAGGGCUAGAAUUUCAACAUAUGAGAAAGAGAGCUCCAUUCAAAGUGUGAAAUCAAUACCUACUUUCUAGCAUAUGACAUUGCUACAUCCUGUUCAUAGCAUUUGUCCCUAUCUGAAAUUCUAUUGUUCACAUUUGGCUUGUAUUUUAUCGUUUGUCUCUGGAAUCUCCACAGAAAAGGAAACAUGCCUGUUUCUAUAGCAGAAUCUGCCAGUACCCAUGACCUAUCCCUGUUACCAUAGAUACCAGCAGCUUCUCACUGCAGGCAUCUGCAAUUUCCUGUCUGAGUCUUCCUGUAGCAUGCUUGCCCUCACAUGAGACAGACUGAGACAGACAGGAGGUGCCUGGAAGGUAGUGACUGAUGAGAUUUGGAGUGGGAAUACCCCUCACCUUGAUGGGGAGAAUGCUGAUUGCUUUCAAUCAUUGCUGAGAUAUCCCCAGCAGGACUGAACUAAGUUUUGCAUAGGGCUCAUGAAUGGGUCUGCAUUGGACUUCUUUCUGACUUCCAAAUCAGUGUUCCCAGAGGUCACUUUCCAAGUAAAUCACUUACAUUUAACUCCUGUCUUUAGCUCUGCUUCACCGGAGAACCCAAUAUAGAAGGCCUUUAUCACUGUUGUCCUGGUGCUUAAACAGUCCAUAAUACAACAGUUAUGGUAAAUACUCAGGAAAUCUUGAUGAAUGAACUGACACAGGGAGCUGUCACUGACAUUGUCAAAUCCUGCAAAUCUAAGAGAUCCAGUGGAAGAGAACUUAACAAAAAGAGCAAUUUGGUGAUUAUGAGCUUAUCACUGGCUAUAGUGAGAGGAAUUUGUUACAGAGGUGGGGCCAUAAAUCUCAUUUUGGAGAGUAAUACGAGUUGAGCAAUGUAGGCAGUAAAGGACAGGGAAAAGUUAACUCUAUAAGACAGCAGGAUAGGAUUUUUUUUGAUGAGAAAUAUUUGAGCCUGAUUUAAUGACAAAGAAUGAACAUAGAAAACUAGUGGAUCAGAGACUUGUUGGACAAAUUUGUCACUCAGUUAGUGAGUACAGAUAGAAGAGUUGGCCCAAAGAAAUAGAAACCUCUUAUCUUCCACGAAAGGAGCUAGGAAGCAAGUUAGUAAACAGAAAUAUGAACAUAAACACACAUACAUAAUGAUAGGUCUCCCACCACCUCAGCAGCUAUUAAAUAUAGUAGCUGCCCUCUUCCUAUGGUGCCUUGCCCCCUCCCCUGUGUGACAUCAUGCCAAGAUGGUUGCUCCCACCAAAGAACAAACCCUUCUUCCCAGCAUGCCCCUGUUCCCACCUAGACAGUAACCUAAUACUCGCUCACCUCCUACCACCUAGUGACAUCACCGGCUCCUCCAUUCCCUAGUCACUACCUCAUUCAACCCCGCCUCAGCCCCUACAAGCCCCACCCCAGUCUCUAUAAAAGACUCUCCCUGCCCCAGCCAUAUUGCUUUUGUCUCUCCUUUGUUCAGAGACAGCCCGGCAGAUCUAUUCCCCUAAUAAAGGCUUGUUGUGGCCUGGUCUGGUCUUGGUCUUCGGCCCUUUUACCUGACAUUUCUGGUGCCGUGACUCGGAUGGUAGAUGGUCCAUUAAGGGACGAUCCCCCGCAGGACGGGGUUGAUUGACCUUUUGGCCAUCUCCAACGGACCUAUCUGCCGUUGCCAGGACCCUCCGGGGCUUUCUACCUUUGCCAUUGCUGACGCUACACAUCCACAUCGGUCACCAAUGUCUGGGUGAGUAGGGAGUUCAGCCUCCCUCUCGUCGGGUUCUCUGUCUCGUUCUCUCUCCCUCCGGGGACUUCUCAGAAAUCCAAGCGCUUGGUCAGAGAAACCCCCACGGCCUCUGGGCCCAGGACCGUGCCCCUGGGAGACGUCCCAUCGGCCCGCCUCCUCUCUUUCUCUCCCUCUGGGAGACUCACUGGGAGAUUGUCAAAGGAGACAAGGACUCUUCUCCCCUUUGUCUUUCUCCCCAGGGGCUGCCUCCUCCUCACCCGCUCUAAUCAGGGGCCCAACAAUCCAAACCCCGCCCCUCAACGCCUCUGGGCUGCCUUCUGGCACAACUCAAACCCCUCGGAUUGUUGGGACCAGACUUUAGGCCAAAAAGAUUUGUUUUCUAUUGUAAUCAGGUUUGGCCUCAGUAUAAACUAGAUAAUGGGUUUCCACGCCCCAAAAAUGACACUUUCAAUUUUAACAUACUGUGUGAUUUACACAACUUCUGUCAGUGCAAUGGCAAAUGGUCAGAAAUCCCCUACAUACAAGCCUUUUCUACCUAUGCUCUUAACCCUCCCUCUGUCAAACCUGUUCUUCUCAAGUACUCCUAGCCUGAGCCGAUCACUCACCGCUCAUACCUCCCCCACUUUAUAACUCUGUUGAUAAGAAAAAGUUUUAAAGCUUAAUAGAUUAGCUAUUAAAGUAGUUGUGGAAGCAAACUAAGUAGUGUAUCCCUUUAAAAACUUGCAUUAGCCCAUUGCUUCUGCUGUUCAAAGUGAAGGUUAUAUAGCUUCUUUGAUUUGUAGCUCCACUAUAGAUAACAUCCUAACUAAAGAAUGAAGUGAAAAUCCUUGAACAAACUUGUGAUAUAUGUGCCUUAACUGUCAUGUGUUUAGGGCUGUAAUCAGUGACAGAAACCACCUGUGUCUAACCAUUAAACAGGAAUUAGAACUUUAUUUACUUAACAAAGACCACUGGGGAUGAGAUAAUGAUGGACAAAAGUAUAAAAUGUUUAUAGUGAGUCGGAGACAAAAUAUUUAAAAAGCUAUAAGUAAAAGAUAUAUUUUUGAUAUAAAAGGAUUUUAUGUUUGUCUUAUUAGCAGGACAAGACCAAAAGGCCUAAGUACAUCAAGAAGGUGUGCGAAAGUGAUUUAUAAAGGAAAUAUAUGUUUACUUGUUGGUUUCAAGUUUGUUAUAAAAGGUUUACAGAAAUAGAGGUUUCAUUGCUUCUGAUUUUAAUUCUACAAGAGAUCUCUGUUAAUUGACUUACAAAAAGUUUUAAAUAGUCUUAUUUAUAAUUAUAAACCUAAAAUUAUAAAGAGAUUAUAAUUCCAUUGGGCUAAAUAUAUUUGAGUGCACUCUAGUUUUAGAAAUUGUCUUAUAUCUUUGUUUUUGUCCAAUCAUACAGCUGUUUUGUUUAUAGAUAAAGGUUAUUAAGUUCAAGGCAUGCUCCCCUUGGUGAACAAAGGAGCGGCCGCAUGGAAAUAUUUUCCAGUCUUUGUUCACUAGGGGGACCUCAACAGUUUUCAUCUUACAACAGACUGACCUGAUGGUUUUCAUAGCCUUAUAAAAGACUUACAGGAAUAAAUAUUAUUUAAAUAUAUUAUUAUACUGUUUAUAUCAAUUGUCAUCAAAGGGAUAAAUUCUAAAUAUGUUAUUAUGGUGUGCUUACAUUGGUCAUUUUCAAAGGACUAAAUAUCCUGUAAAAAACAACAAUAACAAGGUUUUAUUUUUUCUAGUGUACUAAAUGUAUUUAUACUUUCUGACUGUACAGGUUUUCUAAUAUUUGUUUAUGAUAAUAACCUCUUUUUGAUUCAGGUAUUUGCCUUUUCAUACACUCUAGCUAUUUAUGAUAACAGAUACAUAUAUGGGGUAUUUUCUUUAGAUGGUAUCCUAUCAAAAGAUUAUUUAUUUAUUUUUUAAAAGAUAAUUUAGGUAAAAACUUUUGGUGUUUUAAAAAAAAUGAGUACAUUUAAUGAUGGCUAUUUUAUAUCAAGGUGGACAUUUAAAUGUGUUACAAAGGUAAAGUCAUCAUAAUUGUCAUGUUAAAAUAUUAUUUGUGGCUCUUUUUCUGUUAAUAUUCUACAGGAAUUCAACUACUAAAAAACAACCAUGACUGAUGACAGUAACAGUUCUCUAUAUUUUAAAUUCCAAAAUGUUUGUUAUUCAGGUAAAACUAUAAUAGUUAAGUUCAUUAUUCUUGUUACAAUGCUAACGCUAUUGACCUUCUCUUCUGGGUGUUCAACAACUAAAGUUUGGAGACCAAAACUAAAAGGUAACUGGGCUAUGAGGACAGCCAAUAUUUUGGCCCUGGCCCCUCAAGGUCAACAAAGUUCCAGGACAUGAGGGAACCUUCUCUACAGGGUCCUACAUCUUUGGGAUCAAACUCCGGACCUUCCUUGAAAGUUAUUUGGAUAGAUGAUAUUGGCACAUUGUUUAAAAUUCAAGAACUGAAGAGCACAGAGUGAAGAAUAAAUCUCCUUUUCUUAUCACCCAUCUCUGUCUCCUACUGUUGCUUGUUUCUUAUGUAUCCUUUUAAAAACAGCACAAUAGGUAUUGUGGAUUGUGUUUGUACAUGUUUGUGUAUUACGGGGAUGAGCGUAGUUAAUAUAUAUGUGUGUAUCUCUACAUGUAUAUCACUUUCUGCAUAUGUAUAUAUUUAUAACAUGAAUAUAUGUACAUAUUAUUUUAACCUUUUACAAAUGUGUGUGUUGAGGAACUUUUCAUUUAUUUAUUGAUUUAUUGAUGUAUUGACUUAUUGAUUGUGUCAGGGAUAGAACUCUGGGACUCAUACAUGUUAGGCAAGUGCUCUACACUGAGCUCCAAUCCCAGCCUUGCUUUAGUUUUUGUUGUAGUUGUUUUGUUUUUGAGACAGGUUCUCUAUGUAGCUCAGGCUGGCCUAGAACUAGAACCUCCUGCCUCAGCUUCCAGGGUGGGAUUAUAGGCACGUAUCAGUACACCCCCCAAUCUUGCACCAGUUUUUAAAAAUGGCUGCAUAGUGUUUAGUUUUAUAGAUAUAUGUCAAUUUAUUUACUGAGUGCUUUGUUGGUAUAUCAUUCUCUAAAUUCUUUUUUUUUUCCUGAACAAAGUGCAUGCAUGCUACUGAGCACACUGGGCCAAAGGACAUGUACAUCGAAAACAUUGACAGAGGGUGUGGAACUUCCUCAUAUCAAUAUGCACCCUCAUAAUGAGGAAAAGAAUGGGAGAAGAGGGAGUGGGAAGUAGAAGAGGAGGGUGGAGCAGCAGGACAGUGGAGCGUCAGAUGGCGAGAUGCCAGUGGAGUAGUCCCUGCCCUGACCAGGUCCAGGGUGUGGACCCAGCAGGAAGUUGCUGGUAUGGGGUGGAGGAGAGGUGAAGGUCAAUGAGCAGAGGAUGUCCAGGAACUGUGAGAAGAAUGAGUCACCAAGAUGAUGGGGCAGCCUGUCUUCCCUGGUGGGUUCAUCAUCAUCAUCAUCGUCACUCACGAAACACAGCCAUGGUAGCUGUCACUUCCCUUUCAAACUAGCAGGAGAAGGACAGGUGCCUCUUGGUCCUCUUUCUACUCUAUGGGCAGCAAACUUCACACUUGAGUUCACUCAAGAGGAAGCACAUUGAUCAACAUGGCCACCUCGGGGGACAGGCAAUGAUGUUUCCAUUUUUUAUGAUGGCAUCUGGGGCAGUGAGACAGGCAGGGCUGUUUUCCCAGCUCCUCCUGCUUCAAUGAAUACCAAUUAGGCCUGUGGAUAAUUUGUUUGACAUCUUCAGUCCCCAGAGUGUUUCUGACUGACAUCAUCAAAUCAACCCUGGCUUGAGGAGCCCCUUCCUAGAGUUAAUGUAGAGACUUGGUUAGGAAUUGUGUUCAACAGCAGGUAGCAGAGACUGGGAAAUCAAUGGUGAAAACCAGAGAUGGGUAUUUUUCUCUAAUGUAACAUAGAGUCCAGGGACAAGUAUGUUACAAAAGUCACAGUAACUUCAGAAAGUCAUUGGUGUCUCAAGCUCCUUUGUUCUUCUGCUCUGAUCUUAGCCGAAAGGCCGAGAAGCAUCUGCUCUGCUUCUCUAGAGCCAACUUUAUUUUCCAGCUUCUGGAAUGGCUGCUGGAGCUCUAGCCCUUGCGCCUAUUUUCCAUGCUGGAAGCCAGAGGUAGAGAUUAAGGCAAAAGGGAGCGUGCCUGAUGUCUUCCACCUCAUCUUCUAACAAGCUAUCCCAGAAGCUCCACUCAGUAUUGGAAUCUUGCGUCUCAUUGAAUGGUUUACCCUGAUGUCACCCCCUGUUUCUACAGGGAACCCGGGAAAUGGAUUUUUAGCUGGGUUUAUUGCUGCCCCCAACAAAUCAGGGUUUUGUUCACAAACAAAAAGAAACAAAUGGAUGUUGGCUAGGCAACUAGCAGCCUCUUGCAGAUGUCAUGGACAUUUUACACUUUAAAAAUUAUAUUUUAUUUUUUAUUGUGAUAAAAUACAUAAUUUUACCAUUUAACCAUUUUUCAGUGUACACUGGCAUUAAGUACAUUCCUAAUUUGUAAACUUCACCACUAUCUAUUUCCAGAGCUUCCAUAGCAAAUGGUAGCACUGCAUUCAUUAAAUAAUAACACCUCAUUCCCUUCUCCUCAGACACCAGUAACUUCUGUGUUAUUGUCCAUCAUCAUUUAGGUGGAAUCAUAUAAUAUUUGUCCUUCUGUGUCUGGCUAAUUUCAGUUAGCAUAGUGUUUUCAAGGUUUGUUCAUACUGAAGCAAGUACCAAACUUCAUUUUUUUUUUAUUGCUGAAUUACUUCCCAUUUGAUGGAUAUAAUAAAUUUUGAUUCUUCAUCCAUCUGUCUCUGAACAUUUGCAGUGUUUCCAGCUUUUGGCUGCGUGUGUAAGCUGCUAGGAAUACUGGUAUGAAAGAAUCUGCUUGGGUCCCUGUAUACACCUGGGUAAUGUGGUAAUUCUAUGUCUAACUUCUGAGUAUUUUCCAAACAGACUUUACAUUUUCUAUUCUAUUUAGUCUUCACAGACUUGGAGGUUGUCUCCUCUGGGUCCCAGUGACCUCCCCAGUUGGGGAUACUGCACGCUGCCCCCAGUAGGGGAUUCUAGUGUAGUAGGCACUGAUGUGUGCUUGAUGGAGCCAUGCCUGUUUUAGAAGUGAGAAACAAAUGUAGGAGGCUAAGUCAAUGGCCUGUCCUGUUAUUAUUCUCUUGGUAAUCAGAAUUCCCCCAUCUCAAUUCCUGGCCCUGCCCUUAGGGAGUUUCCCACGAAUUUGUGGGAAGCCUUAUGGGUCUAGAUUCCUCCAGAAGUAUGGACUUGUGAAGCCCUCACCAGGAGGUUCCAGGCAGGAACUAUGUCCAUCCCCUUGCUCACUCUUAAAUCAACCUGUCACCACCUUAGCAAGGAGAGAGCAGAUGAACUGAAUUUAUUCCACAUUGCAACGGCAGUUCAGAAUGAGCCAUAGCACAGUGGGGAAGGAAAUGGUUUCCCAAGCCAGGUCGCUUGACUUCAAAUCCCAACUUGCUAUGUUUUUGUAGUGUGAUCUUUAUUUAACUUCCCUAACCCUCAGCUUCGUCAGCUGAAGAUGGUGGAUUAAUAAUAAAGCUUUUACUUACUUCACAUGAUUGCUGAGUAUUGCCUGCAUUCACACAUCACUCCAGAAGCAUUCUGCACAUGUGUCAGUAGUCUCAACACACUUAUACCAAUGAUGUCAAUUCACACUGCAACAGUUAACAGCAAACAGAUUCUUAUUCUGGAAAUAAAAACUAAAACCUCAAAAAGAGCUGAAAUGGAGCUCGGUGAUAGAGCACUUGUCUAGUGUGUUCAAGGCCCUGGGUUCAAUCUCCAGGACUAAAAACAAAAACAAAUGAACAAAAAAGAACAAAACUAGGAGUACAAAAAUGAAAGAAG